rnacentral:rRNA from 1 species
AAAGCACUUUUGUCCGGAAAGAAAAGCUUCGGGUUAAUACCCCGGGGUCCUGACGGUACCGGAAGAAUAAGCACCGGCUAACUUCGUGCCAGCAGCCGCGGUAAUACGAAGGGUGCAAGCGUUACUCGGAAUUACUGGGCGUAAAGCGUGCGUAGGUGGUUUGUUAAGUCUGAUGUGAAAGCCCUGGGCUCAACCUGGGAAUUGCAUUGGAUACUGGCGAGCUAGAGUGCGGUAGAGGAUGGCGGAAUUCCCGGUGUAGCAGUGAAAUGCGUAGAGAUCGGGAGGAACAUCUGUGGCGAAGGCGGCCAUCUGGACCAGCACUGACACUGAGGCACGAAAGCGUGGGGAGCAAACAGGAUUAGAUACCCUGGUAGUCCACGCCCUAAACGAUGCCAACUGGAUGUUGGG